rnacentral:rRNA from 1 species
GACGAAGGAUGCAAGCGUUAUCCGGAUUCAUUGGGUUUAAAGGGUGCGUAGGCGGACCUGUAAGUCAGUGGUGAAAUCUCUCAGCUUAACUGAGAAACUGCCAUUGAUACUGCAAGUCUAGAGUAUAGAUGACGUUGGCGGAAUAUGACAUGUAGUGGUGAAAUACUUAGAUAUGACAUAGAACACCAAUUGCGAAGGCAGCUGGCUACGCGAAUAUUGACACUGAUGCACGAAAGCGUGGGGAUCAAACAGG